ACCGGUAUAUGUACAGUGUACACUGUACACUGUACAACAAUUAAACUGAUUCACAUACUUCAGUUUGCACUAACCUGCGGUGCUACUCUGAUAUCAGAAUUAAUAUUCAGAAUCACUGGAAGAGGUUAGACUGGCCGUUCCUCUCUUCUCCUCCUUCCCUUCAUACUUCUACUGUCUGCGUACUGAGAGCCUGGAGUACAGAAGCACUUGAGAUGACGACCACGACAACCCCCCUGGAAAGGUUGAUUAUUUGUUUAUUUGUCAUUUUAUAUUGAAAUAAAGGAUUGUACAAAUUUA